GUGACAGUUAUAGAAGGUAUUUUUUUAAGUGUGCAUGCUAAUGCGUGUUGUAAUUGGAAAUAUCUAUAGUGUUCUAAUGCAGUUAUUGGUGUCUGCUGAAACAGUUCCCCUAUUAAUUUAAUUUUCCCUUUCGUGUAUAUGUGUGAAACUAACGUAAUACC